rnacentral:lncRNA from 1 species
GAUUUGAUUUAGGAUUUAGGGUUUGAUUAGGGUUUGGUUAGGAUUUAGGAUUUGAUUAGGAUUAAGAUUUGAUUUAGGAUUUAAGAUUUUAUUAGGAUUUGGUUUAGGAUUUAGAGUUUGAUUAUGGUUUGAUUUAGGAUUUAUUUAGGUUUUAAGAUUUAGUUAGUUUUUGGCCUAAAAGUUUGAAUGAAGUCCAAAAGGAUUUUAACUAGGAUUAAAUUAAGAUUGGAUUUAGAUUUAUUUAGAAUAUAUUUAUGAUCAUUCUAAUAUUUUUUUUAAGAUUUCUUAUUUUUUCUUUGUAAGC